UACAGAGGGUGCGAGCGUUGUCCGGAAUCACUGGGCGUAAAGGGCGCGUAGGUGGCGACCCAAGUCGAUGGUGAAAGCUCGCCGCUCAACGGCGAGUCGGCCACCGAUACUGGGUUGCUGGAGCACUGUAGAGGCUCAUGGAAUUCCGGGUGUAGCGGUGGAAUGCGUAGAGAUCCGGGAAGAACACCGGUGGCGAAGGCGGUGGAGCUGGGCAGUUGCUGACACUGAGGCGCGACAGCGUGGGGAGCAAACAGG
rnacentral:rRNA from 1 species